GGAGGGAUGACCGAGUGGACGAUGGUGCCUGUCUUGAAAACAGGUGUGGUGAAAGCCACCGUGGGUUCGAAUCCCACUUCCUCCGCUA
rnacentral:tRNA from 1 species